GAAAGAAGUUGUGCUUCCUUUUCCGCGCGGCCACCGAAGGAUGAGGGCUCGUGGCGUACCAUCGGCCAAGCGGGCCGGGCGGCAGCGUCUGCGGGCCAGUCGCUGGGCUCUUCGAGGUGCAUCAAAGCCUAUGAGGUGAAGAUGAAUGAAAGGCAUCCUGACGUUUUCCAGAAACUGCUCACAGGAUGGCUGUGAUAAAAUCAGGGGCACAACUGCAUGUAAUGAGAGGCAUGCAAUUGGAAGGAAAAAUGAAUUGGUCAAGAAGAUAUGAAUUGGAACAGAUGAUGAAAAUUAGUAUUUUAUUUAACAUAGAUCACCCCACAAUAAGUUUAAUGCAGAAAAAUACAUGUUUGAGUACUUGUAAUUGCUGGACAAUAAAGUCUAUUAUCUUUAAAAUAUAUCAAAUGUUUAAACAGCUCCAUUUUUAUAAUCACUAGUAGGACUUGUUUUUAACAUACUUUAUGGAUAGUAUGUUCUUGUCAAUAACCAGCUCAUUUGUAGACUGAUUCCCUUUGAGAAGGCAGUCAGCUGGGGAGACAUUCUAGUACCUCUAAUUCUCCUGCCCUUUCUUGCCUUAGGGGA
rnacentral:lncRNA from 1 species